rnacentral:rRNA from 1 species
AAUGAACGCUGGCGGCAGGCCUAACACAUGCAAGUCGAGCGGAUGAAGGGAGCUUGCUCCUGGAUUCAGCGGCGGACGGGUGAGUAAUGCCUAGGAAUCUGCCUGGUAGUGGGGGAUAACGUCAGGAAACGGGAGCUAAUACAGCAUACGUCCAGAGGGUGAAAGUGGGGGAUCUUUGGACCUAACGGUAUCAGAUGAGCCUAGGUCGGAUUAGCUAGUUGGUGGGGUAAAGGCUUACCAAGGCGACGAUCCGUAACUGGUCUGAGAGGAUGAUCAGUCACACUGGAACUGAGACACGGUCCAGACUCCUACGGGAGGCAGCAGUAGGGAAUAUUGGACAAUGGGCGAAAGCCUGAUCCAGCCAUGCCGCGUGUGUGAAGAAGGUCUUCGGAUUGUAAAGCACUUUAAGUUGGGAGGAAGGGCAGUAAGUUAAUACCUUGCUGUUUUGACGUUACCAACAGAAUAAGCACCGGCUAACUUCGUG